UCCAGUGAGCUCUCCACCAGCUAAAUCUCCUGCCAAAUCCCCUCCAGCACCUGCGCCAGUGACUCCACCAACAAGUUCUCCUCCGGAAAAUGCUCCUCCUGCUCCAGUGGUUUCACCAACGGCAGAGGUUCCUGCGCCGACUACCAGCAAGAAGAAGCCUAAGAAGCACACUGCUCCAGCUCCUGGUCCUGAGUUGUCGAGCCCACCUGCUCCGCCAACUGAGGCACCUGGACCGAGCGCUGAAGCCAACUCACCUGGACCCUCUGUGGCUGACGAGAGCGGAGCAGAGACGAUAAAGAGCCUGCAGAAGAUGGUUGGAGGGCUGGCAGUGGGAUGGGCAAUCUGCACUUUGGUCUUCUAGAGAGAGGAGUUUAU
rnacentral:misc_RNA from 1 species